rnacentral:rRNA from 1 species
UGGUUCAGGAUGAACGCUAGCUACAGGCUUAACACAUGCAAGUCGAGGGGAAACGACAUCGAAAGCUUGCUUUUGAUGGGCGUCGACCGGCGCACGGGUGAGUAACGCGUAUCCAACCUGCCCAUCACUUGGGGAUAACCUUGCGAAAGUAAGACUAAUACCCAAUGAUAUCUCUAGAAGACAUCUGAAGGAGAUUAAAGAUUUAUCGGUGAUGGAUGGGGAUGCGUCUGAUUAGCUUGUUGGCGGGGUAACGGCCCACCAAGGCGACGAUCAGUAGGGGUUCUGAGAGGAAGGUCCCCCACAUUGGAACUGAGACACGGUCCAAACUCCUACGGGAGGCAGCAGUGAGGAAUAUUGGUCAAUGGGCGAGAGCCUGAACCAGCCAAGUAGCGUGCAGGAUGACGGCCCUAUGGGUUGUAAACUGCUUUUAUAAGGGAAUAAAGUGAGUCUCGUGAGACUUUUUGCAUGUACCUUAUGAAUAAGGACCGGCUAAUUCCGUGCCAGCAGCCGCGGUAAUACGGAAGGUCCGGGCGUUAUCCGGAUUUAUUGGGUUUAAAGGGAGCGUAGGCCGGAGAUUAAGCGUGUUGUGAAAUGUAGAUGCUCAACAUCUGCACUGCAGCGCGAACUGGUUUCCUUGAGUACGCACAAAGUGGGCGGAAUUCGUGGUGUAGCGGUGAAAUGCUUAGAUAUCACGAAGAACUCCGAUUGCGAAGGCAGCUCACUGGAGCGCAACUGACGCUGAAGCUCGAAAGUGCGGGUAUCGAACAGGAUUAGAUACCCUGGUAGUCCGCACGGUAAACGAUGGAUGCCCGCUGUUGGUCUGAAUAGGUCAGCGGCCAAGCGAAAGCAUUAAGCAUCCCACCUGGGGAGUACGCCGGCAACGGUGCAACUCA